rnacentral:lncRNA from 1 species
UACAAAAGUAUCAGCACAAACCUCUAGUCCCAAAACCUGCAAAUGUUUGUAAAAAGAAACAAAAGACUUUAAAACAUGAUAUUACGAUGUAGUUAUUAUGGUGACUAGAGAUGGUUUUGUAAGUAUAAAUUACUUUACCCUUAGGACAUAAUCUGUAAUCAAAUUUGUCUUCUGGCCUUCAGUUGCUAUAGCCUGCGACCAUUAUGAAUCAAAAAGAAGCCAUUUUCUUAUCAGUCUCAUUUCUAGUAAUUAAGUAUGGAAAAAAAACAAGAGACUUUAAAACAUGAUAUUACAGUGUAGUUAUUUUGGAAAAGAAAUAGAUUAUUCACUAAUUAAGUAUAAAAGAGCAUCUAUAUUACCUUCAUGUACACA